GUGAAAUGUAAACAUAAUCCAACAAGAGUUGGAUAUCAGGGCAGAUAAUGAAUAAGAGCUCACAAUAAAAAACAAAAGAAUUGGGAAUAUGUGGACUGAGGGCGGUAAGCAGUUAUUUACAUUGGCAACAUAAUGGAAGCAAUACCUAGAAGAAAAAGUAACGAGGUUGAUGAAAAUAUGCUAGAGAGAGUUAAUAGACUAAUCAAUUUUGAAGUUGGAAAGAGGAUAUCCGCACGAAAAACCCGUAAUGGACGUAUUGACUAAUGACUAGUUAAUAUAU